UCUCUGUGAUGAUGAUAAUGAUUAUGAUGACGAGUCCGAUUUAUCCAUUCAACCAUGACGACAGAUCGAGGCAUUUGUCUGAGAGAA